AGUGAACGCUGGCGGUAGGCCUAACACAUGCAAGUCGAACGGCAGCACAGUAAGAGCUUGCUCUUACGGGUGGCGAGUGGCGGACGGGUGAGGAAUACAUCGGAAUCUACUUUUUCGUGGGGGAUAACGUAGGGAAACUUACGCUAAUACCGCAUACGACCUACGGGUGAAAGCAGGGGAUCUUCGGACCUUGCGCGAUUGAAUGAGCCGAUGUCGGAUUAGCUAGUUGGCGGGGUAAAGGCCCACCAAGGCGACGAUCCGUAGCUGGUCUGAGAGGAUGAUGAGACACACUGGAACUGAGACAAGGUCCAGACUCCGAAGGGAGGCAGCAGUGGGGAAUAUUGGACAAUGGGCGCAAGCCUGAUCCAGCCAUACCGCGUGGGUGAAGAAGGCCUUCGGGGUGUAAAGCCCUUUUGUUGGGAAAGAAAAGCAGCAGGUUAAUACCCCGCUGUUCUGACGGUACCCAAAGAAUAAGCACCGGCUAACUUCGUG
rnacentral:rRNA from 1 species